rnacentral:rRNA from 1 species
UACGUAGGAUGCAAGCGUUUGUCCGGAAUUAUUGGGCGUAAAGAGCGCGCAGGCGGUAUGACAAGUCAGAUGUGAAAGAGGCCGGCUUAACCGGCAAGGGUCAUUUGAAACUGUCAGACUAGAGUGCAGCAGAGGAUAGUGGAAUUCCCGGUGUAGUGGUGAAAAUGCGUAGAUAUCGGGAGGAACACCAGUGGCGAAGGCGACUAUCUGGGCUGCAACUGACGCUGAGGCGCGAAGGCUAGGGUAGCAAACAGG